AGUUUGAUCCUGGCUCAGAUUGAACGCUGGCGGCAUGCCUUACACAUGCAAGUCGAACGGUAACAGGUCUUCGGAUGCUGACGAGUGGCGAACGGGUGAGUAAUACAUCGGAACGUGCCCGAUCGUGGGGGAUAACGGAGCGAAAGCUUUGCUAAUACCGCAUACGAUCUACGGAUGAAAGCAGGGGACCGCAAGGCCUUGCGCGGACGGAGCGGCCGAUGGCAGAUUAGGUAGUUGGUGGGAUAAAAGCUUACCAAGCCGACGAUCUGUAGCUGGUCUGAGAGGACGACCAGCCACACUGGGACUGAGACACGGCCCAGACUCCUACGGGAGGCAGCAGUGGGGAAUAUUGGACAAUGGGCGAAAGCCUGAUCCAGCAAUGCCGCGUGAGUGAUGAAGGCCUUAGGGUUGUAAAGCUCUUUUACCCGGGAUGAUAAUGACAGUACCGGGAGAAUAAGCCCCGGCUAACUCCGUGCCAGCAGCCGCGGUAA
rnacentral:rRNA from 1 species